GGCAGACAGUGACAUUCUGCAGGAAGGUGAAUACCACUGUAGACCAGUGAGGUCACCUGAUCAGCUUUCAACAGUGCCAACGCCAUGAGGAUGAAGCUCGUCCUGUUAGUUCUGUGCUCAGUGUUUGUUCGCUCCACAUUAACAUCGAGUGGCCUGAGAGAAUUAUUCUCAGUGAAAGAAAAAGUGCUCCGGCCUGCUGCAUGGCUCAGCUGUAAAAACAAAAGCAGCACCCUUGCAACAGUGUAUGAUGACGAUGAUGCCAAGGUCAUGAGCAACCUCACUAGUG